ACAAUUAUUUGUCACAAAUCCGUGACAAAAAUUGUGACGGAUUGAAUAUUCUGUUACAAAUAUAAUAACAAGACAAUUAAUAAUAAAUAUAUAAAUUUGUGAUAGAUUUGUUUCCCUCACAACAACAAAAUUAGGCAACUUUUUAAUUUUGGCCCCAAAAAUUUUCAUUACUUUUUAGUUUCCCACCAAAAUUAGGCCCCAUUACAUUUCAGCAAAGUAGCUUUACUUUCCCCAAAAUUCCCCAAAAUUAGACUCUUCUAAGCUUUGACUCAGUUAAUUUCUUGGUGAUUUCAGCAAAGUAGCAAGCCGUUCACUUCGACUCCGUUGUCAUCUUCACUAAGAGGUUUAGUUUUUCUCUAUUAACGAAAACUUACAGUGAAUAACUUUUGGAUCUUCAUAUUGGGUCCUUCAAUUCUUGCCCAAAUUUGUCUCUGAUUUCCUAUAAAACUUCAACAACCUCCAUUUUCAAUCAAGGAUCAAGAGGAGAAGGCAAAGAGGAGUUCUUUCUUCAAGGUUUGCAUUUUAUAGAGCUUCUUACUUCUUUUUGCUGAUUUGUUGGACUUGAUGAAGAGACUUUGGCGUGAUCAAUCAUAAUAAUUAUUUUGAUAAGUGAGCUGAGGCUAAAACAGAGCAGGUGAUGUAAGAGACUAGAGCAUCGUUCUCUAACAAUGCAUAGAGGAGGAGAUUUCACGUUUGAGCGAACAAAGAGAAGGUCGGUUACAUUAUGGAGGAGCGAUUUAUGCGUGCAUGAUGAGUAAGAUGGCAUUAUCACUCCUUCUUCGAUUCUCGUCCCUUCGAUACAGACUCUUCGGAUGCUUUAGUGGUUACUAAUGUUAGACUUUUGUUAACUUUAUACUCAUUCUUUAGAAUUUCUAGAUUUUUAUAGAAGAAUUUAUGUAUUUGCAAUUUUUAAAUUCAUUUGUAAUAUAUUUCAUAGUAUGAAAGUUACAUUGUUGUUAUUGUUAAUUAUUUUGUGCUUUUAGCUAA